AUGCAAACUGUCUCAGUCAACAACGCCAAGACUGCGGACUCCUCCUCCAGUCCCAUGGCCACAGGGUUACUAAUAAAUCUCCCCUUGUCCAAGUGUGUAUGCCGGAUAACUGCACGCCACACCGAGAACAUCAGCAUUCUAUCAAGUCAAGCCAUCUUCACUGCGUUCCAGCCCUGCGCCAGGCACUGUGCCAAGCCGUCUGUACGGGACUAUUCCUUCUUCCCCGAGUUUUCACCUAACUUCUGCUCUUUCCUCAGGGAGAUUUCCCAGCGCUCUCAGUUAGUUAGGUUAUCCAUGAAGUGAAUGUCAAUGUUAGGUAAGACACGUAAGAGAUUUAUGGGUGGGGACUGCAUUGCUGGAGGAAAAAGGGCAAGAACCAAGAGUAGACAGAGAAAGCGUCAAAUUUCCAUGCAGGUCUGAGAUCUACUGAAGAGGAGGAAGUCAGAACCGGAAGGGCAAAGAAUGCAGCCAGGCCCAUGCCGAGUUCUCAGGCUAGAAGUGCCCGUUAGAGAAGUUCCUCACCUUGCCUAAACUGCCUGGCACCAGGUCUGGUCAUCAGCUGGCUGGAGCUCGGGAGAAGCAUGUGUGGCCUUAGCCCUACGCAUGGUGGAAGUCCAGAGAGGCAGUCCGCUGUGCUCUCCAAACAUGAGUCCUGCAUAUCCAUGGCCAUCAUGCCCUCCAGAGUGAGUGAGAGUUCCUAAGUUACUUGCUCUUAAAGCAACAAGUGUUUUCUUUUUCUCAGCAGCAUUAAAAUUUAAAUUUUGCUUUAGCCAUUUUAAAGGUUAUGCUCUCUCUCUGAAUGGUAAGCUGCAUCAGGGAAGCUGCCUAGUUAUCACUGCAUCCCAAGACACACAAGAUGAGAUGGCACACAGUACGUACCACAUACAAUAGUCACCAUUUUUAUCCAUUCGCUAUUCUGUUCCAUUCAUUACUACAUUCAAGCUGGCUUCACACUGCAAUUAAAAACCACAGAUCCCAGAGCUCAAUGUUAUUUCUUCUGGAGCAUCUUAGUUUUUAUAUAUUAGCCAAGCGUAACCCAAAGUGAUGAAGUUGAAGAUGGACUUUUAGGACUGUAUUAAUGUACAUUCAUGCAGAGAUAAAGAGUCCUAUUGUAGGUUAUUUCCAAUUUCCUGAGUGAGUGUACUCUGGUGCCUGCUCUCUUCUGGGCUGAGAUUCCUGUAGCCUGGUGAUCGUGUCUCUCUAAAUAACCUGCUUCCUCAAUCCCAUCUCCUUGCCAGAAAGUAACAUUUCUCAGAUGAUGUAGUAUAAAGUAUUGGGAAAAGGGAAUGGGACAUAAACUAAUAAAGCCAGGAUGAAGGGACCUAGGAAGAGCUGC
rnacentral:lncRNA from 1 species